rnacentral:tRNA from 1 species
GCCUGGGUGGCGGAAUUGGUAGACGCAAGGGACUUAAAAUCCCUCGAUACUUAGUAUCGUACGAGUUCGAUUCUCGUCCUAGGCACCA